GCGGGCGUAGCUCAGGGGUAGAGCGCAACCUUGCCAAGGUUGAUGUCGAGAGUUCGAAUCUCUUCGCCCGCUCCA
rnacentral:tRNA from 4 species